CUAUGGGGCGCAGCAGGCGAGAAAACUUUGCAAUGUGCGAAAGCACGACAAGGUUAAUCCGAGUGGUUUCUGCUAAAGGAACCUUUUGUUAGUCCUAGAAACACUAACGAAUAAGGGGUGGGCAAGUUCUGGUGUCAGCCGCCGCGGUAAAACCAGCACCUCAAGUGGUCAGGAUGAUUAUUGGGCCUAAAGCAUCCGUAGCCGGCUCUGUAAGUUUUCGGUUAAAUCUGUACGCUCAACGUACAGGCUGCCGGGAAUACUGCAGAGCUAGGGAGUGGGAGAGGUAGACGGUACUCGGUAGGAAGGGGUAAAAUCCUUUGAUCAAUUGAUGACCACCUGUGGCGAAGGCGGUCUACCAGAACACGUCCGACGGUGAGGGAUGAAAGCUGGGGGAGCAAACCGGAUUAGAUACCCGGGUAGUCCCAGCUGUAAACUAUGCAAACUCAGUGAUGCAUUGGCUUGUGGCCAAUGCAGUGCUGCAGGGAAGCCGUUAAGUUUGCCGCCUGGGAAGUACGUACGCAAGUAUGAAACUUAAAGGAAUUGGCGGGGGAGCACCACAAGGGGUGAAGCCUGCGGUUCAAUUGGAGUCAACGCCAGAAAUCUUACCCGGAGAGACAGCAGAAUGAAGGUCAAGCUGAAGACUUUACCAGACAAGCUGAGAGGUGGUGCAUGGCCGUCGCCAGCUCGUGCCGUGAGAUGUCCUGUUAAGUCAGGUAACGAGCGAGAUCCCUGCCUCUAGUUGCCACCAUUACUCUCAGGAGUAGUGGGGCGAAUUAGCGGGACCGCCGCAGUUAAUGCGGAGGAAGGAAGGGGCCACGGCAGGUCAGUAUGCCCCGAAACUCUGGGGCCACACGCGGGCUGCAAUGGUAAUGACAAUGGGUUCCAAAUCCGAAAGGAGGAGGUAAUCCUCAAACAUUACCACAGUUAUGACUGAGGGCUGCAACUCGCCCUCACGAAUAUGGAAUCCCUAGUAACUGCGUGUCAUUAUCGCGCGGUGAAUACGUCCCUGCUCCUUGCACACACCGCCCGUCGUUUCAUUGAAGUGAGCUUUUAGCGAGGUGACGUCUGAUUGG
rnacentral:rRNA from 1 species